rnacentral:rRNA from 1 species
GACGAACGCUGGCGGCGUGCCUAACACAUGCAAGUCGAGCGGAGCUAGUAGCAAUAUUAGUUUAGCGGCGGACGGGUGAGUAACGCGUGGGCAACCUGCCUUCUACAGGGGGAUAACACAGGGAAACUUGUGCUAAUACCGCAUAACAUACUUAAGGGACAUCCCUUGGGUAUCAAAGGAGCAAUCCGGUAGAAGAUGGGCCCGCGUCCGAUUAGCUAGUUGGAGGUGUAACGGACCACCAAGGCGACGAUCGGUAGCCGAACUGAGAGGUUGAUCGGCCACAUUGGGACUGAGACACGGCCCAGACUCCUACGGGAGGCGGCAGUGGGGAAUAUUGCGCAAUGGGGGAAACCCUGACGCAGCAACGCCGCGUGAAGGAUGAAGGUCUUCGGAUUGUAAACUUCUUUAGUCGGGGACGAAGAAAUGACGGUACCCGAAGAAUAAGCCACGGCUAACUACGUGCCAGCCGCCGCAGUAA